rnacentral:rRNA from 1 species
CAGUAGCCGCGGUAAUACGAGGGGGGCAAGCGUUGUUCGGAAUUAUUGGGCGUAAAGGGCGCGUAGGCGGUUUGACAAGUUUGGUGUGAAAUCUAUGGGCUCAACCCAUAGCCUGCAUCGAAAACUGUCGGGCUUGAGUAUGGGAGAGGUGAGUGGAGUUUCCGGUGUAGCGGUGAAAUGCGUAGAUAUCGGAAGGAACACCUGUGGCGAAAGCGGCUCACUGGACCAUUACUGACGCUGAGGCGCGAAAGCUAGGGGAGCAAACAGGAUUAGAUACCCGUGUAGUCCCUGUCUCUUAUAA